UAGCAAGAUUCUAUCCUAGCUUUUCAAGAGAUGGAGAGGAUUGUGGUUCAAGGCCAGCAUGGGCAAAAGUUUUCAAGCCCCCAUCUCAACUACUAAAAAGCUGAUUGAGCUAAUUGCCAGGUUUGCAGAUGGUUAAGACUGAGAUCACAGUUCCAGUCUAAAAAAAAUAUUCACAAGACCCCAUCACAAUAGCAAAAGUUAGAUGUGGUGUUGCUCACCUGUCAUCCCAGCUAUGGAAGGAAACCUAAAUAGGAAGAUCACAGCAUAGGCCAGCACCCCAGGAAGGCGAGGAAGAAGAAUCAAGACCCUGCCUCAACAAUAAAGCAAAAAGGGCUGGAGGUGUGGUUCAAGAAGUCUAGUUGUAGGCUUCAAGUUUUGAAGUCUCUGACUUCAAAAGCCAGUAACAUAAAACAACAACAUCAGGAAAAGAAAAAGGAAGCAAGAAAGGCAGGGAUUGGAAAGGCCCAUUGAAGGAUCCUGUCUAUCUGCUGCUGCCUCUGGCUUCACUUGUCUUCAGUCUUGAUAGUCGGUCGGAGACCUCCUGUUCUUAACUGUGGGAGAUGGGAAAGCUGCUGGACUCUUUUUACUGGCAGGGCUGGCUGAGGCUGUGGAAACCCUGAGGCCAAGGGUGGCUGAGGUCUUGGAAGGCAAAGGAGCUGGGAAGAAAGGCCGCUUCCAGGGCAAGGCCACCAAGAUGAGCCGGCGGGCAGAGGCAUAGGCGCUUCGGCAGGAUUAUGUCAGCACACAGAGUGCCGAAGAGUGAGGAUCAGCAUGGCUGCCCUGUCCACAGGAAUUUCUCAGACAGUGAAAUAGUUUGACUUAAAAUGGUUUUGCUACCGCCUACAUUAAUGGUGUAACUCUCUCACAGUGUGUGAUUAGUAUCUCUUUGUGAAUAAAGUUUUCCAAUUUGACCCCUAUUAGACAUAA